rfam:Callithrix jacchus chromosome 4, whole genome shotgun sequence
CCAAAGGCUCUUUUCAGAGCCAACAACCUUUUCUAUAAAAGAUGUU